rnacentral:rRNA from 1 species
UCAGUUCGGAUUGAAGGCUGAAAUUCGCCUUCAUGAAGCCGGAAUUGCUAGUAAUGGCAGGUCAGCAUACUGCCGUGAAUACGUUCCCGGGCCUUGUACACACCGCCCGUCACACCAUGAGAGUCGGGAACACCCGAAGUCCGUAGUCUAACCGCAAGGAGGGCGCGGCCGAAGGUGGGUUCGAUAAUUGGGGUGAAGUCGUAACAAGGUACC